rnacentral:rRNA from 1 species
UAAAAACAUGUCUUUUUGAUUAUAAUUUAAGGUUUAAUCUGCUCAAUGAUUAUUUAAAUUGCCGCAGUAUUUUGACUGUGCAAAGGUAGCAUAAUAAUUAGUUUCUUUAUUGGGAACUGGAAUGAAUGAUUGGACGAGAAAAUUUCUGUCUCUUUAUUAUUUUAAUUGAAUUUUACUUUUAAGUUAAAAGGCUUAAAUUUUAUUAGAGGACGAGAAGACCCUAUAGAGUUUAAUUUUUAUUUAAAUAAUUAUUUUUAGUAUUUAUAUAUAUUAUUUAAAUAAAAAUUUAGUUGGGGUGACUAAAAGAUAAGAAUAACUCUUUUAAUUUUUAUCAAUUAUUUUUGAUUAUAAAAUCUUUAUUUUUAAUUUUAAAAUAAAUUACCUUAGGGAUAACAGCGUAAUUCUUUUUUAAAGUUCUUAUUAAAAGAAGAGUUUGCGACCUCGAUGUUGGAUUAAAAUUAAUUUUAGGUGUAGAAGCUUGAAAAUUAAGUCUGUUCGACUUUUAAAAUUUUACAUGAUCUGAGUUUAAACCGGUGUGAGCCAGGUUGGUUUCUAUCCUUAAUUAUAUAUUAUACUUUAGUAC